GAUGAACGCUGGCGGCGUGCCUAAUACAUGCAAGUCGAGCGAACAGACGAGGAGCUUGCUCCUCUGACGUUAGCGGCGGACGGGUGAGUAACACGUGGAUAACCUACCUAUAAGACUGGGAUAACUUCGGGAAACCGGAGCUAAUACCGGAUAAUAUAUUGAACCGCAUGGUUCAAUAGUGAAAGACGGUUUUGCUGUCACUUAUAGAUGGAUCCGCGCCGCAUUAGCUAGUUGGUAAGGUAACGGCUUACCAAGGCAACGAUGCGUAGCCGACCUGAGAGGGUGAUCGGCCACACUGGAACUGAGACACGGUCCAGACUCCUACGGGAGGCAGCAGUAGGGAAUCUUCCGCAAUGGGCGAAAGCUUGACGGAGCAACGCCGCGUGAGUGAUGAAGGUCUUCGGAUCGUAAAACUCUGUUAUUAGUGAAGAACAAAUGUGUAAGUGACUAUGCACGUCUUGACGGUACCUAAUCAGAAAGCCACGGCUAACUACGUG
rnacentral:rRNA from 1 species